ACACACACACACACACUCACAGACAAGCACGCAGGGAAAAUAUGAGGAACCACACCCUACAGAGCUUGCGAUGCCAUGUGGCCUAGCAACCAAAACAACAUCAAGCACUGGUGAAGUUUCACGAGGCAGCCUGAAGGAGCCCACAGGAAGCAGGGGAGACGCAGCGACAGGAACACAGAGCAGCGCGCCGCACCAGACGCUACGAAACCAGAUGUCGGCCGAACGCCAGGGCCUGGAGUCAGGUCGGGUGGAUGACAUGGCCGGACCCCUGAAGGAUGAGGGGUCAUUAAAAAGCAAGACUCUCUGCUUCUGCAGAGAGCCCUAUUUAACGUGCGAGUGUAACUCAGCGUGGGCUGCGCAGGGCUGUGUGAGCAGGAAGACUGUUUGUUCUGCACUGCUGCAGGAAGGGGAAGGGCCGUGUGGUUACAUAACCGCUUUGUCUCUGACCCCAUUCCUCCAGCGCCCUUUACUUAACACUCCGCUCCACCAGACAGCGACGCAGACCGCCUCUAAAGGCCGCGGCGCUGCGUAACCCAACCCUGUCCGACGUUCCCGUGCGGAGCCCGCGCGUGACAGGGUACGAGCGGGAGCGAGGGAGACGGGCCGAUCGGCAGACCUCCGCGGAAUCUGCAUCCAUUAUCCCCCGGAGGAGGAGGAGGAGGAGGAGGAGGCUCCCGGGCUGCUCCGCCGUCGCCAUGGUAACAGCAGGCAGGGGGGGGGGGGCGGGGCCCUCAUCAUGUCAGGUCGGGUGAAACCAGGACACGGGGAGGAGGGGGGAGAGGGGGGGAGUCAGACGGGAGGGUCAGGGGGAGGAAGGGGGGAGAGGCCAGAGUGGGCCGGUCCAGAGUUUGGAUCCAGGUCGCGGGAGGCUCGAAGGAAGUGUCGACAUCCUCACGUGUCCCCUCUGCACCACCCCCCCCCCAGCUGUCACGCAGUCCGUCCGGCCUCAGAAAGACCGUCAGACCCCCCAGACAGACCCCCAGACAGACCCAGAUCCCGUCCCCGAUGCGGGACAGCUCUCAUCUCCUUCCUGGUUUUACGUCGUGUUUCACGGAGACGUUUGUCAUGGACCUUGAGUCUCCAGGGAGCAGAGCGUGGCCUGGCCUGCUCACCAUUCCACUUGUAACUUUUUAUCCGGGAGCUUUAACUCUUGUGUUACGCGACAUUGGCUCAUUUAAAACACACUCCCAGGGUGAGUCACGACUCGUACGCCAGUGGAGGAACCCGACGCCACGCUGUAGACUCCCCCGGCGACACCUGACCCGCUCAGUGGAAGAACGUCUGAUCGGCUUUGGAGGACGUAGCAUUCAACACUUUGGAGGGUGGGGUUAGGUUGUUGGAGUUGGUUAAGGGAGGGAGUAGGAGGAGGUGGGAGAGGUGGAGGUGGUGAUGGAGGUGGAGGAGUUGGAGGAGGUGGAGGAGGUGCAGGAGGUGGAGGAGGUGCAGGAGGUGGAGGUCCUACCUGAGAUGUUCUGCUGCGUGAGAUGCUUCAGGACGCUAGGAGACUCCGCCUCUGGCGUCUCAAAGUUCCCCUCUGAGUCGGAGCUGAGGAGGCAGACAGACAGACAGACAGACAGACAGACAGACAGACAGACAGACAGACAGACAGACAGACAGACAGACAGACAGACAGACAGACACACAGACAGGCAGACACACAGACAGGCAGACAGAGAGGGAGGCAGACAGACAGGCAGACAGACAGACAGACAGACAGGCAGACAGACAGACAGACAGGCAGAGAGGGAGGCAGACAAACAGACAGACAUACUGAUUAAUUCUUCCCUUUUAACUAGAAUCAUCAUAAUACUGAUGUGAUACUUUGUGUGAAUCAUUUCCGCAGACAUCAACACGAAGAAACAAUCCCAACCGAAACCUGAAAGAAGACCAACCAGCCUGCGACCUCUGAGAGGGAAAUCAGGAGAGAGGAAGGAGGCUGAGAUUACACCUGCAUCCUCUCACACACACACAACACACACACACACACACACACACACACACACAC
ensembl:lncRNA